rnacentral:rRNA from 1 species
GACGAACGCUGGCGGCGCGCCUAACACAUGCAAGUCGAACGAAGAAGGUUGGAAUGAGAGCUUCGGCAGGAUUUCUUUCCAUCUUAGUGGCGGACGGGUGAGUAACGUGUGGGCAACCUGCCCUGUACUGGGGAAUAAUCAUUGGAAACGAUGACUAAUACCGCAUGUGGUCCUUGGAAGGCAUCUUCUGAGGAAGAAAGGAUUUAUUCGGUACAGGAUGGGCCCGCAUCUGAUUAGCUAGUUGGUGAGAUAACAGCCCACCAAGGCGACGAUCAGUAGCCGGACUGAGAGGUUGAACGGCCACAUUGGGACUGAGACACGGCCCAG